rnacentral:rRNA from 1 species
GUAGGGUGCGAGCGUUGUCCGGAAUUAUUGGGCGUAAAGAGCUCGUAGGCGGCUUGUCACGUCGGAUGUGAAAGCUCGGGGCUUAACCCCGAGUCUGCAUUCGAUACGGGCUAGCUAGAGUGUGGUAGGGGAGAUCGGAAUUCCUGGUGUAGCGGUGAAAUGCGCAGAUAUCAGGAGGAACACCGGUGGCGAAGGCGGAUCUCUGGGCCAUUACUGACGCUGAGGAGCGAAAGCGUGGGGAGCGAACAGGAUUAGAUACCCUGGUAGUCCACGCCGUAAACGUUGGGAACUAGGUGUUGGCGACAUUCCACGUCGUCGGUGCCGCAGCUAACGCAUUAAGUUCCCCGCCUGGGGAGUACGGCCGCAAGGCUA